UCCUCGGAGGGCAGCAGUGGGGAAUUUUGGACAAUGGGNGCGANCCUGAUCCAGCAAUGCCGCGUGAGUGAAGAAGGCCUUCGGGUUGUAAAGCUCUUUUGUCAGGNAAGAAACGGCUGAGGUUAAUACCUUNGGNUAAUGACGGUACCUGAAGAAUAAGCACCGGCUAACUACGUGCCAGCAGCCGCGGUAAUACGUAGGGUGCAAGCGUUAAUCGGAAUUACUGGGCGUAAAGCGUGCGCAGGCGGUUUUGUAAGUCNGUCGUGAAAUCCCCGGGCUCAACCUGGGAAUUGCGAUGGAGACUGCAAGGCUUGAAUCUGNCAGAGGGGGGUAGAAUUCCACGUGUAGCAGUGAAAUGCGUAGAGAUGUGGAGGAACACCGAUGGCGAAGGCAGCCCCCUGGGUCAAGAUUGACGCUCAUGCACGAAAGCGUGGGGAGCAAACAGGAUUAGAUACCCUGGUAGUCCACGCCCUAAACGAUGUCUACUAGUUGUCGGGUUUUAAUUAACUUGGUAACGCAGCUAACGCGUGAAGUAGACCG
rnacentral:rRNA from 1 species